rnacentral:rRNA from 1 species
AGAGUUUGAUCCUGGCUCAGGAUGAACGCUAGCGGCAGGCUUAAUACAUGCAAGUCGUGGGGCAGCAGGUGUAGCAAUACAUGCUGGCGACCGGCAAACGGGUGCGGAACACGUACGCAACCUUCCUUUAAGUGGGGGAUAGCCCAGAGAAAUUUGGAUUAAUACCCCGUAAUAUUAUGAAGUGGCAUCACUUUAUAAUUAUAGCUUCGGCGCUUGAAGAUGGGCGUGCGGCUGAUUAGGUAGUUGGCGGGGUAACGGCCCACCAAGCCUUCGAUCAGUAACUGGUGUGAGAGCACGACCAGUCACACGGGCACUGAGACACGGGCCCGACUCCUACGGGAGGCAGCAGUAAGGAAUAUUGGUCAAUGGGCGAAAGCCUGAACCAGCCAUGCCGCGUGGAGGAUGAAGGCCCUCUGGGUUGUAAACUUCUUUUAUCUGGGAAGA